AAUACGACCGUACCGCAAACCGACACUGGUGCGCGAGAUGAGUAUUCUAAGGCGCUUGAGAGAACUCAGGAGAAGGAACUCGGCAAAUUGACACCGUAACUUCGGAAGAAGGUGUGCCCUAUUAGUGUGAAGUGAACAACGGAGCAUGAAUGGGAUGCAAAAAAUCGGUGGCUGCGACUGUUUAUUAAAAACACAGCACUCUGCAAACACGAAAGUGGACGUAUAGGGUGUGACGCCUGCCCGGUGCUGGAAGAUUAAAUGAUGGGGUGCAAGCUCUUGAUUGAAGUCCCAGUAAACGGCGGCCGUAACAAUAACGGUCCUAAGGUAGCGAAAUUCCUUGUCGGGUAAGUUCCGACCUGCACGAAUGGCGUAACGAUGGCCACACUGUCUCCUCCUGAGACUCAGCGAAGUUGAAAUGUUUGUGAUGAUGCAAUCUCCCCGCGGAAAGACGGAAAGACCCCAUGAACCUUUACUGUAGCUUUGUAUUGGACUUUGAACAGAUCUGUGUAGGAUAGGUGGGAGGCUUUGAAGCAGGGUCGCUAGAUCUUGUGGAGCCAACGUUGAAAUACCACCCUGGUGUGUUUGAGGUUCUAACCUAGGUCCAUUAUCUGGAUCGGGGACAGUGCAUGGUAGGCAGUUUGACUGGGGCGGUCUCCUCCCAAAGCGUAACGGAGGAGUUCGAAGGUACGCUAGUUACGGUCGGACAUCGUGACGAUAGUGCAAUGGCAUAAGCGUGCUUAACUGCGAGACUGACAAGUCGAGCAGAUGCGAAAGCAGGACAUAGUGAUCCGGUGGUUCUGUAUGGAAGGGCCAUCGCUCAACGGAUAAAAGGUACUCUGGGGAUAACAGGCUGAUACCGCCCAAGAGUUCAUAUCGACGGCGGUGUUUGGCACCUCGAUGUCGGCUCAUCUCAUCCUGGGGCUGUAGCCGGUCCCAAGGGUAUGGCUGUUCGCCAUUUAAAGAGGUACGUGAGCUGGGUUUAAAACGUCGUGAGACAGUUUGGUCCCUAUCUUCCGUGGGCGCUGCAGAUUUGAGGAAGCCUGCUCCUAGUACGAGAGGACCGGAGUGGACACACCUCUGGUGUAUCGGUUGUCACGCCAGUGGCAUUGCCGAGUAGCUAAGUGUGGAAGAGAUAACCGCUGAAAGCAUCUAAGCGGGAAACUCGUUUCAAGAUGAGAUCUGCCGGGGCCUUGAGCCCCCUGAAGAGUCGUUCAAGACCAGGACGUUGAUAGGUCAGGUGUGGAAGCGAAA
rnacentral:rRNA from 1 species